AUGGAGCAAAUGAAUCGGACUAUCAAA
rnacentral:piRNA from 1 species